CUCUUAUCCCGAGUUGGUGGAGGGAGACAGGCCCGAUGAAGCCCAGCAACCGUCACAUACGUGAAAGGUGCUAACCUGUGGCAAGGGGACGCCCUUGAACGAUAAGAG
rnacentral:ncRNA from 1 species